rnacentral:rRNA from 1 species
GACGAACGCUGGCGGCGUGCCUAAUACAUGCAAGUUGAGCGCUGAAGGUUGGUACUUGUACCGACUGGAUGAGCAGCGAACGGGUGAGUAACGCGUGGGGAAUCUGCCUUUGAGCGGGGGACAACAUUUGGAAACGAAUGCUAAUACCGCAUAAAAACUUUAAACACAAGUUUUAAGUUUGAAAGAUGCAAUUGCAUCACUCAAAGAUGAUCCCGCGUUGUAUUAGCUAGUUGGUGAGGUAAAGGCUCACCAAGGCGAUGAUACAUAGCCGACCUGAGAGGGUGAUCGGCCACAUUGGGACUGAGACACGGCCCAAACUCCUACGGGAGGCAGCAGUAGGGAAUCUUCGGCAAUGGACGAAAGUCUGACCGAGCAACGCCGCGUGAGUGAAGAAGGGUUUCGGACCGUAAAACUCUGUUGGUAGAGAAGAACGUUGGUGAGAGUGGAAAGCUCAUCAAGUGACGGUAACUACCCAGAAAGGGACGGCUAACUACGUG